GGCGAGCGAACAGGGAGGAGCCCAGCGCCGAAUCCCUGGCGCGCUGCGCGCCAGCGACAUGUGGCGUUCGGGAGGGUCCGUUAUUCCGGGGCACGCCGUGCCGAGUCCAAGUCCUUCUUGAACGGGGCCACGGUCCGUAGAGGGUGCCAGACCCGUAGCGGCCGACGGCGUCCCCGGGUGGACCUCUCCUUAGAGUCGGGUUGCUUGAGAGUGCAGCCUAAAGCGGGUGGUAAACUCCAUCUAAGGCUAAAUAUCACCACGAGACCGAUAGCCAACAAGUACCGUGAGGGAAAGUUGAAAAGAACUUUGAAGAGAGAGUUCAAUAGUACGUGAAACCGUUCAGGGGUAAACGGGGAAGACUUGAAAAUCCGAAAGGAGAGAUUCACGUCUUCCGCCGGCCCCGUCAAGCCCGUCCGCGUAUGGUCGUACCCCCUCGCUCUGGCUCCGGCUCGGGCGACGGCGGGUCGGCCGGCCGGGCGGGCGCGGCGGAGCUGCGGAGGACCGCACUUCUCUCCCAGUAGGACGUCGCGACCCGUUCGGAGGCAGGCCUGAUGCCGGGCCGUAAGUCUCGAGUCAGCCGCCGGCCUUCGGGCCGUCGGCGCUCGGGUGGGCCUAGUGCAGGGUAGCGUUACGGACGGUAGUUGUAGACGGUGCUGAACCGCUCUUCGGAGCGCCUUCGGCCAAUUCCGAGUCGGUCGUCGAGCGCGGACGCGGGCCUUCCGGGGCCCGCUCCGCUUCGCCUCCGGCUGUCGGGUGUUGGUCCUGGGGCGGCGUUCACAUCACCCGUCGGCGACGCCGCAGUUUCGAGCUCUUACCCGACCCGUCUUGAAACACGGACCAAGGAGUCCAACGUGUGCGCGAGUCGUUGGGCGUCAAAACCCAAAGGCGCAAUUAAGGUGAAGGGAAGCUUGCCUUUCCUAGGGAGGAGGGGGGCACCGCGCCUCACGGGCGGUCCCCCCGCACUCCCGCGGCGUCUCAGGCUCAUCGCGAGCCGAGGCGGACCUAGAGCGUUCACGUUGGGACCCGAAAGAUGGUGAACUAUGCCUGGCCAGGACGAAGCCAGGGGAAACCCUGGUGGAGGUCCGUAGCGGUUCUGACGUGCAAAUCGAUCGUCGGAGCUGGGUAUAGGGGCGAAAGACUAAUCGAACCAUCUAGUAGCUGGUUCCCUCCGAAGUUUCCCUCAGGAUAGCUGGCGCCCAGGUUGAGACGAGUCUCAUCUGGUAAAGCGAAUGAUUAGAGGCAUUGGGGUCGAAACGACCUCAACCUAUUCUCAAACUUUAAAUGGAUGAGAACCCCGGCUUGCUUGAUCGAGUGAAGCUGGGGCUCGGAUCCGGGUGCCAAGUGGGCCAUUUUUGGUAAGCAGAACUGGCGCUGUGGGAUGAACCAAACGCCGAGUUAAGGCGCCUAAAUCGACGCUCAUCAGACACCAUGAAAGGCGUUGGUUGCUUAAGACAGCAGGACGGUGGCCAUGGAAGUCGGAAUCCGCUAAGGAGUGUGUAACAACUCACCUGCCGAAGCAACUAGCCCUGAAAAUGGAUGGCGCUGUAGCGUCGUGCCUAUACUCGGCCGCCAACGGCAAACCCGGCAAGGUCCCGCGAGGGGCCGGCCGCCGUUACGCCUUGGUGAGUAGGAGGGCCGCGGCGAUGUGCGCAGAAGGGUCAAGGCGUGAGCCUGCCUGGAGCCGUCGCCGGCGCAGAUCUUGGUGGUAGUAGCAAAUACUCCAGCGAGGCCCUGGAGGACUGAUGUGGAGAAGGGUUUCUUGUGAACAGCCGUUGCACAAGAGUCAGUCGGUCCUAAGCCCUAGGAGAAAUCCGAUGCCGAUGGGCGCCGUUACGACCGAGUCUCUCCGACGCCGACUCUAAGGGCAGCCUGGCUGCCCGACGAGGCGGCGACGAGGACGCGCAAGUUGGCGCCCCAGCACGGGCGAAAGGGAAUCCGGUUCCUAUUCCGGAACCUGGCAGCGGAACCGUUCCAAGUCGGGCCCUCUGACGAGAGCUCGUCGGGGUGACCCAAAGGGACCCGGAGACGCCGUCGGGAGAUCCAGGGAGAGUUGUCUCUUCUCUAUAAGCGUUCGAGUUCCCUGGAAACCUCUAGCAGGGAGAUAGGGUUUGGAGCGCAAAGAGCACCGCAGUUACGGCGGUGUCUGGAUCUUCCCCUCGGACCUUGAAAAUCCGGGUGAGGGCUACGAGGAACACCGCGCCAGACCGUACCCAUAUCCGCAGCAGGUCUCCAAGGUCAACAGCCUCUAGUCGUUAGAAUAAUGUAGGUAAGGGAAGUCAC
rnacentral:rRNA from 1 species